rnacentral:rRNA from 1 species
GGUAUGUAAACUUCUAUCAGCAGGGAAGAUAGUGACGGUACCUGACUAAGAAGCCCCGGCUAACUACGUGCCAGCAGCCGCGGUAAUACGUAGGGGGCAAGCGUUAUCCGGAUUUACUGGGUGUAAAGGGAGCGUAGACGGUGUGGCAAGUCUGAUGUGAAAGGCAUGGGCUCAACCUGUGGACUGCAUUGGAAACUGUCAUGCUUGAGUGCCGGAGGGGUAAGCGGAAUUCCUAGUGUAGCGGUGAAAUGCGUAGAUAUUAGGAGGAACACCAGUGGCGAAGGCGGCUUACUGGACGGUAACUGACGUUGAGGCUCGAAAGCGUGGGGAGCAAACAGGAUUAGAUACCCUGGUAGUCCACGCCCGUAAACGAUGAAUACUAGGUGUCGGGGAGCAAAGCUCUUCGGUGCCGUCGCAAACGCAGUAAGUAUUCCACCUGGGGAGUACGUUCGCAAGAAUGAAACUCAAAAGGAAUUGACGGGGACCC